GAAGAGAUAAGUGCUGAAAGCAUCUAAGCACGAAACUUGCCCCGAGAUGAGUUCUCCCUGAGACUUUAGGUCUCCUGAAGGAACGUUGAAGACGACGACGUUGAUAGGCCGGGUGUGUAAGCGCAGCGAUGCGUUGAGCUAACCGGUACUAAUGAACCGUGAGGCUUAACCUU
rnacentral:rRNA from 1 species